rnacentral:lncRNA from 1 species
AUGUAUUGCUCAUACGUGGAAAGAGCGCCCUACCAGGCCAAGGCAGAGAAGAGAAAGGUUGAAUGGAACAACAUGGAAGUUUAUAACAAGAAACAAGUAAUUGUGUGAUAGAGUAAAAGCUUGGUCCUUUAAUGUAUCUGAUAGCUGCAAAGGUUUUUGCGUUUGUAGUAGUCAUCUUCGCUUUUUCAUGGAAAGUGAUAGUUCGUGCUCUUGAAGAAAAUGCUAGAGCUUCCUACAAUUUGGACACUCCUUGAACUAUAGAGCCUUCUGAGAAAGAACCGAUUCAGUGACAACUUUGAACCAUCAGAUCAGACCAGAACAAAUACAUCGGUUCAAUCUGACACAGAAGACCUUACCUAGCCACUUCUGCUCUGCAAU